CCCAAGUGCGGGGGAGAGAGCGCGCGCGAGCGAGGAACGUAAAAAGAAACGUGUGAGGCACUGAGUCCGAGGACAGAGUUUGUACGUAAACUUCCUUUUCAAUCCGAUUCUGGAUGAUAUCAUUGGGUUUCCACGAGUGUACUAGAAAAGACAGAGGAAGAGCCGGAACAACAAUGCCGUUGUUUCGAGGACGGAGACAACCCUAUUUCCCUGAAGACGGCCCCGAGUUCUUCAAAGUUUUCCUUCCCUUUACCUGCUCUCACGAAAUAUCUAUCCCACCCACAUUUAUCAAGCACUUCACUGGAAACAUACCAAAGAAGGCCAUUCUCAUUGAUCAUACCGGAAACUCUUGGCCUGUUGAACUGGACCAAAUUGGCAGCCGCUUGUGUUUCAAGUGUGGCUGGCAACAGUUUGCAAGUGAUCAUUCUCUGGAAUUUGGGGACUUUCUUAUAUUCAAAUACAAUAGAAGUAAUGUGUUUAAAGUCAAGAUAUUCAAUAAAACUGGAUGCAUGAAAUAUGAAGCUGAAGCUAUGGGUAAGGCUCUUCCAUGUCUGACCCCUGAAGAAGAUUCUACAGCAGGGCAGACUUGUGGUAGAUUGACUCGUGGUGGCAAACGAAAGCUUUUGCAGAUAGGUCUCAAGACCAAUGAAGAGGCAGGAGUUUCAUCAAAAGCUAAUCAACAUAAAUCAAGAAGAAUUGCUGGAGCAAAUCUUGAACAAAACAAGAGCCCUAAAGUGGCCCGAGUUGUUGCACCAAAGAAUCCAUAUUUUGUUACAUCCAUUACUAAAUUUAUGCGAUAUACCUUGUGUGUUCGUAGAUCUGUGGUGAAUGCGUAUAACAUCAAGCUGAAGCAAGAAGUGGUAAUUCGCGGUCCAAAUGAAGAGAAAUGCCCUGUGAAAAUCGUUAAAAGGUCGAAUGGUCGAAUCAUGAUCGCGAAUGGGUGGUCUUAUUUUGUAGAGAAGAAUGCUGUACAACCUAAAGACCAAUGUGUGUUUGAGUUUAUCCUUGGAAGAGGAAAUACAUGCAGAGAAAUGCGUGUUCAAAUUCUUCGUGGAAAUGCAAGAUUCAAGAAGUUACCUAAGGAUUGGUUGUAUAGGGAGAAGGCAUGAUAUACAAAAAAAUCCACCCCCAACCCCCAAGUGCGGCCCAACUUCAUGGUAGAAAUGCAAACCCAACAGUGCUUGUUCUCAUGGCACGAGACAACUUUUCUCAAUUCCGCUUUGCAACACAUACCUGUUGACUCUCUCUGGCCACUUAUCCAAGCCACCAUGAAUGGUUCCCUCAAGAUUUUGGGUUUGAAGGCGGCAUUUCUGCAGAAAUUUCUUCUUUUAGCCCACCAACAAAUGCUCCAAUUUAAGCCCUUUGUGGCCAAUUGACAACUUCUUCAACAAGUCUUUCAAAUUCAUAAUAUCAUUCUCUCAAUGUUUCUUACUGCCUGAUGCAUAGGUAGCUUUGUCAAAAUUUGCAUAUUCUAUAUAACUAAACUGUACUGCAUAUGCUCCACUAAAAUCCCUUCCUCCCUCUUUCCUUGAGGGUUUUGGUAAUGGGAAAAAUUAUACUGUCAUUAACUAGCAUCCAA